rnacentral:rRNA from 1 species
UUUAAGUAAGACCCCUUGAAGACGACGAGGUAGAUAGGCUUAAGGUGGAAGUAUAGUGAUAUAUGGAGCUGAUAAGUACUAAUUGGUCGAGGGCUUAACCGA